AGUAUUUAUUAUUUUUUUUUAAACCUAAAGAAUUUGGCGGUGUUUUAUUCUAUUUAGAGGAACUUGUCCCGUUAUCGAUAAUCCUCGUUUUAUCUUACUUUUACUUGUAUUUCAGUAUGUAUACCGCCGUUAUAGGUUUAUUUUAUAAGAUUGUUAAUUUACUUAUUAUUUAAUAAUAUUGUAUUUCAGGUCAAGGUGCAGUUUAUGUUGAAGUGGAGAUGGGUUACAUUGUUUUAAUAAAAUUGGAUUUGAUUUGGAAUAUUAUUUAUAUCAAUGAAAUUGGAUUUAAUUGUAAUUUAAUUUAUAGUUUUUAUAUGAUCAUUAGCUCUGAAAUAAGUACACAUCGCCCGUC
rnacentral:rRNA from 1 species